AUUGCGUUUAUAACGCCAUCUUUUGACAUUUCAUAAUAUACAACAAAAUAACUGUCAAAGUGCUGUCAAAUUUAAUUAAAGUGAAUUUUAAAGUAUUGAAUUUAAAUUAUUUGAAAAAAAACGCCUUUUUGAGUGAAUAUAAAUAUGACAACAUAGAAUUAAGGUCGUAUUAUGGAAAAUUUCCAUAUAAACAACUUUGAAAAAUGUUAGCGUGACCUUAAAAAAAACUUGCAAAGUUAAAAUAAAGUUUUCUUUUACGAUAUAAUAAAAAUGAUAUAGGCGAAGUUAUUGUUGAAGUAGUCGAGGGUGGGAUAUAAAAUCAAUAUUAUAACAAAGAACCUAAUGAGGUGAAAAACUCUUCAAACUAUUUCAAGGCGUGGUAUCGAAUAGAAAUUGAAAAAAUAUAACCUAAUAAAGAUUAUAAUUUUAGAAUUAAUCUUUUGAAAUAAAAAUUAAUGUGAGAAAAUGCAUCCGGUUCAAUCAUUUUUAUGAUUGAUUGCCAUAAAACAUGCAAAAUAUCUAUUUUUAGACAACUUUAUACAUUUACUUGUUUAUUGAGUUGCCUAUAUAAAAAUAAAUUAACCUCAAAAGUA